rnacentral:rRNA from 1 species
UACGAAGGGGGCUAGCGUUGCUCGGAAUCACUGGGCGUAAAGGGUGCGUAGGCGGGUCUUUAAGUCAGGGGUGAAAUCCUGGAGCUCAACUCCAGAACUGCCUUUGAUACUGAAGAUCUUGAGUGCGGGAGAGGUGAGUGGAACUGCGAGUGUAGAGGCGAAAUUCGUAGAUAUUCGCAAGAACACCAGUGGCGAAGGCGGCUCACUGGCCCGGUACUGACGCUGAGGUGCGAAAGCGUGGGGAGCAAACAGG